GGCCGAUUAGCUCAGCUGGUUAGAGCAUUCGUCUAAUACUCAAUUAGAUGAACGAAAGGUCUUGAGUUCGAUCCUCAAAUUGGUCA